CCCAAUUCCCCAGAAUCCCCAUUUUUAUCCCCAUUUUUUCUUUCCAAAAUUCCCCAUUUUCCCCAAAUCCCCAUUUCCCCAUUAUUCCUCAUUUCCCCCCAUUCUUCCACAUUUUGCCCAAAAUCCCCAUUUUUCCCAUUUUCCCCAACUUUUCCCCAUUUUGCCCAAAAUCCUCAUUUUUCCCCAUUUUCCCCAACUUUCCCGUUUUCCCACAUUUUGCCCAAAAUCCCAAUUUUUCCCAUUUCUCCCCCAAAUCCCCAUUUUGCCCAAAAUCCCCAUUUUGCCCAUUUCCCCCCAAAUCCCAAUAAUUUCCCAAAUUCCCCCUUUUUACCCCAAACUCCCCAUUUCUCCCAAAUCCCCAUUUUUAUCCCCAUUUUCCCCAAAUCCCCAUUUUCCACCCCAUUUUUCCCAAAAUCGCCAUUUCCCCCAUUUUCCCCAAAAAUCCCCAUUUUCCCCAUUUCCCCCCAAAUCCCAGUAAUUUCCCAAAUUCCCCCUUUUCACCCCAAACUCCCCAUUUUUCCCCAAAUCCCCGUUUUUCUCCCCAUUUCCCCCAAAUCCCCAUUUUCCCCAAACCCCCAUUUUCCACCCCAUUUUCCCCAAAUUCCCGUUCUUCUCCCCAUUUUUCCCCAAACCCCCAUUUUCCACCCCAUUUUCCCCAAAUUCCCGUUUUUCUCCCCAUUUUUCCCCAAAUCCCCAUUUUCCACCCCAUUUUUCCCAAAAUCCCCACUUUUAUCCCCAUUUUCCCCAAAAUCCCCAUUUCCCCCCAUUUUCCCCAAAUCCCCAUUUUCCACCCCAUUUUCCCCAAAAAUCCCCAUUUUCCACCCCAUUUUUCCCAAAUCCCCGUUUUUCUCCCCAUUUCUCCCAAAAUCCCCAUUUCUCUCCCCAUUUCCCCCAAAUCCCCGUUUUUCUCCCCAUUUCCCCCAAAUCCCCAUUUUCCCCAUUUUUCCCUAAAUCCCCAUUUUCCACCCCAUUUCCCAAAAUCCCUAUUUUCCACCCCAUUUUUCCCAAAAUCCCCACUUUUAUCCCCAUUUUUCCCAAAAUCCCCAUUUCCCCCAUUUUCCCCAAAAAUCCCCAUUUUCCCCAUUUCCCCCCAAAUCCCAGUAAUUUCCCAAAUUCCCCCUUUUCACCCCAAAUUCCCCAUUUUUCCCCAAAUCCCCGUUUUUCUCCCCAUUUCCCCAAAUCCCCAUUUUCCCCAAAAUCCCCAUUUUCCACCCCAUUUUCCCCAAAUUCCCGUUUCUCUCCCCAUUUUUCCCCAAAUCCCCGUUUUCCACCCCAUUUUCAUCCCCAUUUUCCACCCCAUUUUUCCCAAAUCCCCAUUUCCCCCAUUUCCCCCCAAAUCCCAAUAAUUUCCCAGAUUCCCCCUUUUCACCCCAAAUUCCCCAUUUUUCCCCAAAUCCCCCUUUUUCUCCCCCAUUUUUCCCAAAAUCCCCAUUUCCCCCAUUUUUCCCCAAAUCCCCAUUUUCCACCCCAUUUCCCAAAAUCCCUAUUUUCCACCCCAUUUUUGCCAAAAUCCCCAUUUCCCCAAUUUUUCCCCAAAUCCCCAUUUUCCACCCCAUUUUUCCCAAAUCCCCAUUUUCCACCCCAUUUUUCCCAAAUCCCCGUUUUUCUCCCCAUUUUUUCCCAAAUCCCCAUUUCUCUCCCCAUUUUUCCCAAAUCCCCAUUUUCCCCAUUUUUCCCAAAUCCCCGUUUUUCUCCCCAUUUUUCCCAAAAUCCCCAUUUCCCCCAUUUUUCCCCAAAUCCCCAUUUUCCACCCCAUUUUCCCCAAAUCCCCAUUUUCCACCCCAUUUGCAUCCCCAUUUUCCACCCCAUUUUUCCCAAAUCCCCAUUUCCCCAUUUUCCCCAAAUCCCC
rnacentral:lncRNA from 1 species